rnacentral:rRNA from 1 species
AAACUUUCAACAACGGAUCUCUUGGUUCUGGCAACGAUGAAGAACGCAGCGAAAUGCGAUAAGUAAUGUGAAUUGCAGAAUUCCGCGAAUCAUCGAAUCUUUGAACGCACAUUGCGCCCACCAUCACCGGUGGGCAUGCCUGUUCGAGCGUCAUUU